CAGAAGGGGUGUAGCUCAGUGCUAGAGCAUGUACCUAGCAUGUACAAGGCCCUGGGUUCAAUCCCCAGCCCUCUGA
rnacentral:tRNA from 1 species